rnacentral:pre_miRNA from 1 species
CAUGAAGAUCCUGGUUAUAUUUUUCCACAGCUUUCUUGAACUUUCUUUUUCAUUUCCCUUAUUUUAGAGCCAAAAUAACUAAAAAUCUCUAACAUUUAACACUCUAGAAAAAAAAAAGCUCAAGAAAGCUGUGGGAAAACAUGACAAUUCAGGGUUUUCUUC